UACGGGGGGGGCAAGCGUUGUUCGGAAUUACUGGGCGUAAAGGGCGCGUAGGCGGCCGUGUAAGUCACUUGUGAAAUCCCGGGGCUCAACUCCGGGGCUGCAGGUGAGACUGCGUGGCUAGAGCACGGUAGAGGCGAGUGGAAUUCCCGGUGUAGCGGUGGAAUGCGUAGAUAUCGGGAAGAACACCGGUGGCGAAGGCGGCUCGCUGGGCCGUUGCUGACGCUGAGGCGCGAAAGCGUGGGGAGCAAACAGG
rnacentral:rRNA from 1 species